CUAGAUUGAAAUGUUACAUCAAUUAUAGUUAUUAUUUUCUUACAGCAACUCUGAGUUUAUUUAGGCCCACACUUCAUCAGUUAGAGUUAGAUGAUUCUGUUUUAUUCCUUGGUAAGUGCUUGAUGAAAGGAUGCACGCAACAUUAAUAUUUGAGUCAUUUUGCUUUUUUAUAUUUUGGAAAAUAUCCUUCGAAAUGAUUUAGAAAGGCCUCACUCUGCUCUCUGGGAAUUCUGUAUAUUUAUAACACGACUUAAUUACAGCUUCACAGUCUUAGACACAUGGCUUAAUUUUUCAUUUUUAUUCCUUAAACAAAUACCUCAUUUUAUAUUUAUAAGAGGACUGAAAGUAAG